rnacentral:rRNA from 1 species
UACGAAGGGUGCAAACGUUGCUCGGAAUCACUGGGCGUAAAGCGCACGUAGGCGGAUUGUUAAGUCAGGGGUGAAAUCCUGGAGCUCAACUCCAGAACUGCCUUUGAUACUGGCGAUCUCGAGUCCGGGAGAGGUGAGUGGAACUGCGAGUGUAGAGGUGAAAUUCGUAGAUAUUCGCAAGAACACCAGUGGCGAAGGCGGCUCACUGGCCCGGAACUGACGCUGAGGUGCGAAAGCGUGGGGAGCAAACAGGG